CAGAAUCGGCAGGGUGCCUUAAACAACCAUCGUUACACCGGGACUCAGCAUGCCAUCUCAUAUGAAUUGAUGUUUUCUCGCAUAUGAACAAACGUCUGAGUCUAGGAAUUAACGGGAAGUGUCGGAGGACUUUCUUAGGUACUCUUUUGCGAUGAGAGGUUGAACAACUUGGUUCAUUUUCUGUGGGACUCUUCCAUCUUGAAGCAUUACACACUUUGAAUUUGUCCAAAUCUUUGUCAUUCUUCCAGAACAACAUACAAUCAUUCUCACAUGCAUCAAUUUUGACAUAA
rnacentral:lncRNA from 1 species